rnacentral:rRNA from 1 species
ACGCACGCUGGCGGCGUGCUUCACACCUGCAAGUCGAACGGAAAGGCCCUGCUUUUGUGGGGUGCUCGAGUGGCGAACGGGUGAGUAACACGUGAGUAAUCUGCCCUUGACUUUGGGAUAACUUCAGGAAACUGGGGCUAAUACCGGAUAGGAGCUCCUGCUGCAUGGUGGGGGUUGGAAAGUUUCGGCGGUUGGGGAUGGACUCGCGGCUUAUCAGCUUGUUGGUGGGGUAGUGGCUUACCAAGGCUUUGACGGGUAGCCGGCCUGAGAGGGUGACCGGCCACAUUGGGACUGAGAUACGGCCCAGACUCCUACGGGAGGCAGCAGUGGGGAAUAUUGCACAAUGGGCGGAAGCCUGAUGCAGCAACGCCGCGUGCGGGAUGACGGCCUUCGGGUUGUAAACCGCUUUCGCCUGUGACGAAGCGUGAGUGACGGUAAUGGGUAAAGAAGCACCGGCUAACUACGUG